rnacentral:rRNA from 1 species
GACAGCAGCCGCCACGGGAAUACGAAGGGGGCUAGCGUUGUUCGGAAUUACUGGGCGUAAAGCGCACGUAGGCGGAUAUUUAAGUCAGGGGUGAAAUCCCGCAGCUCAACUGCGGAACUGCCUUUGAUACUGGGUAUCUUGAGUAUGGAAGAGGUUAGUGGAAUUGCGAGUGUAGAGGUGAAAUUCGUAGAUAUUCGCAGGAACACCAGUGGCGAAGGCGGCUAACUGGUCCAUAACUGACGCUGAGGUGCGAAAGCGUGGGGAGCAAACAGGAUUAGAUACCCCCGUAGUCCCUGUCUCUUAUAC